UGGGGAAUAUUGGACAAUGGGCGCAAGCCUGAUCCAGCAAUGCCGCGUGUGUGAAGAAGGCCUUCGGGUUGUAAAGCACUUUUAUCAGGAGCGAAAUCUGCAUGCUUAAUACGUGUGCAGUCUGACGGUAACUGCGGAAUACGCCCCGGCUAACUUCGUGCCAGCAGCCGCGGUAAUCCGAAGGGUGCAAGCGUUAAUCGGAAUUACUGGGCGUAAAGGGUGCGUAGGCGGUUCGUUAAGUCUGUCGUGAAAUCCCCGGGCUCAACCUGGGAAUGGCGAUGGAUACUGGCGAGCUAGAGUGUGUCAGAGGAUGGUGGAAUUCCCGGUGUAGCGGUGAAAUGCGUAGAGAUCGGGAGGAACAUCAGUGGCGAAGGCGGCCAUCUGGGACAACACUGACGCUGAAGCACGAAAGCGUGGGGAGCAAAC
rnacentral:rRNA from 1 species